UCCCUCUUAGCUCAGUUGGUAGAGCGCGUCACUAGUAUAUAGCUAUGACGAGGUCAGUCGUUCAAAUCGGCUAGCGGGAA
rnacentral:tRNA from 1 species